AUUGAACGCUGGCGGCAUGCCUUACACAUGCAAGUCGAACGGCAGCACGGGUGCUUGCACCUGGUGGCGAGUGGCGAACGGGUGAGUAAUACAUCGGUACAUGUCCUGUAGUGGGGGAAAGCCCGGCGAAAGCCGGGUUAAUACCCCAUACGAUCUACGGACGAAAGCGGGGGGCCUUCGGACCUCGCGCGGUAGGGUUGGCCGUUGCGUGAUUAGCUCGUUGGUGGGGUAAAGGCCUACCACGGCGACGAUCAGUAGCUGGUCUGAGAGGAGGAUCAGCGACACUAGAACUGAACCACGGCCAAGACGCCUACGAGAGGCAGCAGUCGGGAACUGUGGACAAUGGGCGAAAGCCUGAUCCAGUAAGGCCGCGUGUGUGACAGAGGCCUUCGGGGUGGAAAGCACGCUUUCGCGGAAAGAACUCCUUGGGCCUAUGACGGUCGGUGGAUGACGGUACCGGAAGAAGAAGCACCGGCUAACUACGUG
rnacentral:rRNA from 1 species